GGGCGAGGGCUACACACGUGCUACAAUGGCCAGUACAGAAGGUCGCCAACCCGCGAGGGGGAGCUAAUCCUACAAAGCUGGUCGUAGUCCGGAUCGCAGUCUGCAACUCGACUGCGUGAAGUCGGAAUCGCUAGUAAUCGCGAAUCAGCAUGUCGCGGUGAAUACGUUCCCGGGCCUU
rnacentral:rRNA from 1 species